AGCGGGUUAGUGUAAAUGGUCAACACAUUUGACUCAUGAUCAAAACAUAGAGGUUCAAAUCCUUUAUCCGCUU
rnacentral:tRNA from 1 species